rnacentral:rRNA from 1 species
CAGUAGCCGCGGUAAUACGUAGGGUGCAAGCGUUAAUCGGAAUUACUGUGCGUAAAGCGUGCGCAGGCGGUUUGUUAAGACAGAUGUGAAAUCCCCGGGCUCAACCCGGGAACUGCAUUUGUGACUGGCAAGCUAGAGUCUGGCAGAGGGGGGUGGAAUUCCGCGUGUAGCAGUGAAAUGCGUAGAUAUGCGGAGGAACACCGAUGGCGAAGGCAGCCCCCUGGGCCAACACUGACGCUCAUGCACGAAAGCGUGGGGAGCAAACAGGAUUAGAUACCCCAGUAGUCCCUGUCUCUUAUUC